rnacentral:rRNA from 1 species
UUUGAUCCUGGCUCAGAACGAACGUUGGCGGCAUGGAUCAGGCAUGCAAGUCGAAUGAAUCCUGGGUGCUUGCACUUGGGGGAAAUGGCGAAAGGGGCAGUAAUGCAUGGGGAAUCUACCUUGGGAUAAUGUAUAGCCGUCCUAACGGACGGGUAAUCCAUUACGAGAUGUAGAGAAGGCAUCUUCUUUACAUGAAAGAAUUUCGUCUCGAGAGGACCCCAUGUCGUAUUAGGUUGUUGGUGAGGUAAUGGCUCACCAAGCCGAAGAUGCGUAGCGGGUGUGAGAGCACGAUCCGCGCCACUGGCACUGAGACACUGGCCAGACACCUACGGGUGGCUGCAGUCGAGAAUCUUCGUCAAUGGGCGAAAGCCUGAACGAGCGAUGCCGCGUGUACGAUGAAGGCCUUCGGGUUGUAAAGUACGAAAGAGGUAAGAAAGGGAAACUUGAUCAAACCUCAGUAAGCUCGGGCUAAGUUCGUGCCAGCAGCCGCGGUAAGACGAACCGAGCGAACGUUGUUCGGAAUCACUGGGCUUAAAGGGCGUGUAGGCGGAUAUCUAAGUCUGGGGUGAAAUCCCACAGCUCAACUGUGGAACUGCCUUGGAUACUGGAUGUCUAGAGUGAGGUAGGGGCGUGCGGAACUGUCGGUGGAGCGGUGAAAUGUGUUGAUAUCGACGGGAACUCCGGUGGCGAAGGCGGCACGCUGGACCUUUUCUGACGCUGAGGCGCGAAAGCUAGGGUAGCGAACGGGAUU